UGUACCCCCGGCGCUUGCAUGACAUCAGCUCCAGCGCAGAAGAGGGCUCAGCCUGCCCGCAGGAGACCAUCUGAGUGCCCACCCCAUGACUGACUCCAUAAGCAUGAGAUGACUUCAUCCUCAAAUCCUGAAGCAGGAACCCUGCCCAUCUUGGAAGAUGU
rnacentral:lncRNA from 1 species